GACGAACGCUGGCGGCGUGCCUAAUACAUGCAAGUCGAACGCAGUGGGGACGGGUGAGUAACACGUGGGUAACCUCCCAUCAGAGGGGAUAACACUUGGAAACAGGUGCUAAACCGAUACUGAUGGAUGAACCCGCGGUGCAUUAGCUAGUUGGUGAGGUAACGGCUCACCAAGGCCACGAUGCAUAGCUGACCUGUGAGGUGUGUCGGCCAAACUGGGACAUAUACACGGCCCAGAUUCCCACGGGAGGCAGAACUAGGGAAUCUUUGGCAAUGGACGAAAGUCUGACCGAGCAACGCCGCGUGAGUGAAGAAGGUUUUCGGAUCGGAAAACUCUGUUGUUAGAGAAGCGGUAUCUAACCAGAAAGCCACGGCUAACUACGUGCCAGCAGCCGCGGUAAUUC
rnacentral:rRNA from 1 species